rnacentral:tRNA from 1 species
AUUUAAAUAGUUUAUUAAAAAUAUUGAUUUGUGGGAUCAAGGAUGUAAUUAUUUACUUUAAAUA